rnacentral:rRNA from 1 species
GAUCAAGUGUCUUAAGGGCAAUUGGUGGAUGCCUUGGCAUGCACAGGCGAUGAAGGACGUGAUACGCUGCGAUAAGCUACGGGGAGGUGCGAAUACCCUUUGAUCCGUAGAUCUCCGAAUGGGGAAACCCACCUAAGGUACUUGGAAAAUCAGAGAUGCAGGGAUGCGGCGAUCUCUUUGAGAUCGCGCUGUCUGCGUCUGUGGUUUCCAAGUAUCGCUAAUAGGUAACUUAUCCUGAAUCCAUAGGGAUAAAGUGGCGAACGCGGGGAACUGAAACAUCUAAGUACCCGUAGGAAAGGACAUCAACCGAGACUCCGGAAGUAGUGGCGAGCGAACCCGGACCAGGCCAGUGGCGAUUGAGAGACAAGCGGAACCUUCUGGAAAGUAGGGCCAUAGCGGGUGACAGCCCCGUACGCGUAAUGCGAUCAAUCGUCCUCGAGUAAGGCGGGACACGUGAAAUCCUGNNNNNNNNNNNNNNNNNNNNNNNNNNNNNNNNNNNNNNNNNNNNNNNNNNNNNNNNNNNNNNNNNNNNNNNNNNNNNNNNNNNNNNNNNNNNNNNNNNNCCUGAAAUUGGGAGGACCACCUUCCAAGCCUAAGUACUCGUGCAUGACCGAUAGCGAACUAGUACCGUGAGGGAAAGGUGAAAAGCACCCCGACAAGGGGAGUGAAAGAGUACCUGAAACCGAUUGCCUACAAACAGUGGGAGUCCGCAAGGAUGACCACGUACCUUUUGUAUAAUGGGUCAGCGACUUAGUGUGACGAGCAAGCUUAAACCGGUAGGUGUAGGCGCAGCGAAAGCGAGUCUGAACAGGGCGUUCAGUUCGUCGCAUUAGACCCGAAACCGAGUGAUCUAGCCAUGAGCAGGCUGAAGGUAAGGUAACACUUACUGGAGGGCCGAACCCAUAACUGUUGCAAUAGUUCGGGAUGACUUGUGGCUAGGGGUGAAAGGCCAAUCAAACUCGGAAAUAGCUGGUUCUCCGCGAAAUCUAUUUAGGUAGAGCGUCGACCGAAUACCCCAGGGGGUAGAGCACUGGAUGGGCUAGGGGUCCUCACCGGAUUACCAAACCUAACCAAACUCCGAAUACCUGGGAGUACUAGUCGGCAGACACACGGCGGGUGCUAACGUCCGUCGUGAAAAGGGAAACAACCCUGACCUACAGCUAAGGUCCCCAAGUUAUGGCUAAGUGGGAAAGGAUGUGAGGAUCCCAAAACAACCAGGAUGUUGGCUUAGAAGCAGCCAUCAUUUAAAGAAAGCGUAACAGCUCACUGGUCUAAAUAAGGGUCUUUGCGCCGAAAAUGUAACGGGGCUAAAGCCAUACACCGAAGCUUAGGGUUCGUGAGCAAUCACGAGCGGUAGCGGAGCGUUCUGUAAGCUGAUGAAGCCGUACCCGUGAGGGGCGGUGGAGGUAUCAGAAGUGCGAAUGCUGACAUGAGUAACGUAAGGGGAGUGAGAGACUCCCCCGCCGAAAGACCAAGGGUUCCUGCUUAAAGUUAAUCUGAGCAGGGUUAGCCGGCCCCUAAGACGAGGCGGAAACGCGUAGUCGAUGGGAACCACGUUAAUAUUCGUGGGCCUGGAGGUAGUGACGGAUCACACAAGUUGUCCAAUCUUAUCGGAUUGAACGGGCAGCGGAGUGGUUCCAGGAAAUAGCUCCUCCUUAUAGACCGUACCCGAAACCGACACUGGUGGUCAGGUAGAGUAUACCAAGGCGCUUGAGAGAACUAUGCUGAAGGAACUCGGCAAAUUGCACGCGUAACUUCGGAAGAAGCGUGACCCUUUUCUACGCAAGUGGAGGAGGGUGGCACAGACCAGGGGGUAGCGACUGUUUAUCAAAAACACAGGGCUCUGCGAAGCCGCAAGGCGACGUAUAGGGUCUGACGCCUGCCCGGUGCUGGAAGGUUAAGAGGAGGGGUGCAAGCUCUGAAUCGAAGCCCCAGUAAACGGCGGCCGUAACUAUAACGGUCCUAAGGUAGCGAAAUUCCUUGUCGGGUAAGUUCCGACCUGCACGAAUGGCGUAACGACUUCCCCGCUGUCUCCAGCAUAGACUCAGUGAAAUUGAAUUCCCCGUGAAGAUGCGGGGUUCCUGCGGUUAGACGGAAAGACCCCGUGCACCUUUACUAUAGCUUUACAUUGGCAUUCGUAGUGGCAUGUGUAGGAUAGGUGGUAGGCUUUGAAGCCUGGGCGCCAGCUCAGGUGGAGCCACCCUUGAAAUACCACCCUUAUUACUAUGGAUGUCUAACCGCGGCCCGUUAUCCGGGUCCGGGACAAUGUAUGGUGGGUAGUUUGACUGGGGCGGUCGCCUCCUAAAGAGUAACGGAGGCGCGCGAUGGUGGGCUCAGAACGGUCGGAAAUCGUUCGCUGAGUGCAAUGGCAUAAGCCUGCCUGACUGCGAGACUGACAAGUCGAGCAGAGACGAAAGUCGGUCAUAGUGAUCCGGUGGUCCCGCGUGGAAGGGCCAUCGCUCAACGGAUAAAAGGUACGCCGGGGAUAACAGGCUGAUGACCCCCAAGAGUCCAUAUCGACGGGGUUGUUUGGCACCUCGAUGUCGACUCAUCGCAUCCUGGGGCUGGAGCAGGUCCCAAGGGUAUGGCUGUUCGCCAUUUAAAGCGGUACGUGAGUUGGGUUCAGAACGUCGUGAGACAGUUCGGUCCCUAUCUGCCGUGGGUGUAGGAAUAUUGAAAGGAUCUGUCCCUAGUACGAGAGGACCGGGAUGGACGGAUCUCUGGUGGACCUGUUGUGGCGCCAGCCGCAUUGCAGGGUAGCUAUAUCCGGACGGGAUAACCGCUGAAGGCAUCUAAGCGGGAAACCCACCUUGAAACGAGUAUUCCCUGAGAACCGUGGAAGACGACCACGUUGAUAGGCCGGGUGUGGAAGAGCGGCAACGCUUGAAGCUUACCGGUACUAAUAGUUCGAUAGGCUUGAUCGUUCUCAUU